GAGACUUGGGUUUAACCCAAGAUUUCAAGAAUAGCGAAAAACCCAAAUUGGGUAACAGAGAACUGUGCGCGCAAGAGAGAGACACAGAGUUUCUCACUCGAUAACAGAGAGAUGAAGCUGAAAAAAGGGUAUCAAUUUCUGUGGAUAGGCUAAAUAUAUUCUGAUCGAUUUGAUUCUGCACAAGAAGAAAGCGUAUACCCAUGUGCUCUACAAUUUGAUUCUCUCACAAGCUCCCACCUUUCAGGGUUUAUUGUGGAAGUCAGCUUUGGGGUUUCUCAUAGUGAAUGCUGGUUUCCAUUCUAAUCCUUUUACAGUCGGAUUCUUCUAGGAGCACCUCCCCUGUUUGACUCAAUGACUGGAUAUUGGAUGAUAUUGAUGUUUUGCGUAUGUCCUUUGAUCUUAAGGACAUACUAAUUGCCGACUAUUUGUUUAAUGAACAACUAUUGGUGAUCCUGGGGAUUCACUAUUGGGGAUCUGAAGAAAGGGAUGUGGAUAGUUAUGUCCUUUGAUUUUAGGACAUUUGAAAACCAUGGAUAUGAGGAACAAAUAUUGGUACUUCGGUUGACACGAUGUUUGAUCAGAGGAAGGAAUAUUGGUACUUAUAUUGACAAGAUGAUCUGAGGAAUGAAUAUAGGUAGUAACGUUGACAGAGGAAGCUCCACCUCCAAGGAACUGCUUAUGAGAAGAGACACCUUUAUUUGCCUGGACUCGUCACAAUCAGUGAAGGGUAGACUUCCGGAUGGCAUUUGAACCAUAUGCAUUCGCCGGUCUCACUUUCAACCAAAAGUUCACUGGGGGAUGCUGUGACACCAGCAAUGCCUCCCCCACUCCCAAAAGAAAAAGAAAAGAGAAACAGGAGGAUGAAAGAGUGAAUCCAGAUUUUCUGGGUCAUCUAGUAGCUGUUUCAUCACAAACAAGAAAGUGUGAGAUGAAUUGCUUCUAUCAGGUUGGCGUUCAACAGCGGUUGAAGGAUCAUUCUUAUCUAUACGACAAGGAUCAGUUUGCGUGCCUUCAAAUUCAUGCGGAUUGCCAAUGGGAUUGUGAAGAAUUUCUUCCACCUCCUCUAAAGUCAGCUACUGCUACCUCGAUCGCAGAAUGGGGCAUCCUUAUCAUAAUCAGAGUUGUCUGACUUGUACUUCAAGCAGCAGACAACAAAGUCCCCUAUCUGCUUAGGAGGAUCAGAAUGUGCCUGAAUGAGAUAAUACUCAUG